ACGCGUGAGUAUCUACCUUCAGGACGGGGACAACAGCUGGAAACGGCUGCUAAUACCCGAUAUGCCGAAAGGUGAAAAGUUGUUUCGCCUGGAGAGGAGCUCGCGUCCGAUUAGCUAGUUGGUGAGGUAAAAGCUUACCAAGGCGAUGAUCGGUAGCUGGUCUGAGAGGAUGAGCAGCCACACUGGAACUGAGACACGGUCCAGACUCCUACGGGAGGCAGCAGUGGGGAAUUUUCCGCAAUGGGCGAAAGCCUGACGGAGCAACGCCGCGUGGGGGAAGAAGGUUUUUGGAUUGUAAACCCCUUUUCUCAAGGAAGAACAAAAUGACGGUACUUGAGGAAUCAGCCUC
rnacentral:rRNA from 1 species